UCUGGGCUGGCAGAGUGGUAAAGAAUCUGCUUGCAAUGCAGAAGAUGUGGGUUCGAUCCCUGGUCUGGAA
rnacentral:tRNA from 1 species